rnacentral:rRNA from 1 species
UACGUAGGGGGCAAGCGUUGUCCGGAUUUAUUGGGCGUAAAGAGCGUGUAGGCGGCUUUACAGGUCCGUUGUGAAAACUCGAGGCUCAACCUCGAGACGCCGGUGGAAACCGUAAAGCUAGAGUCCGGAAGAGGAGAGUGGAAUUCCUGGUGUAGCGGUGAAAUGCGCAGAUAUCAGGAAGAACACCCGUGGCGAAGGCGGCUCUCUGGGACGGUACUGACGCUGAGAGACGAAAGCUAGGGGAGCAAAUGGG